rnacentral:rRNA from 1 species
GAAGCUGGAAUCGCUAGUAAUCGCGGAUCAGAAUGCCGCGGUGAAUACGUUCCCGGGUCUUGUACACACCGCCCGUCACACCAUGGGAGUUGGGAAUACCCGAAGCCUGUGAGCUAACGUAAGAGGCAGCAGUCGAAGGUAGAAUCAAUGAUUGGGGUGAAGUCGUAACAAGGUAAC